rnacentral:lncRNA from 1 species
AUGGUGAAUGUUCCCAAACACCCAUCAGACUUUCUAUAAAAAGUGUGGCAAGCACCAACUCCACAAAGUGACACAGUACAAGAAGGGCAAGGAUUCUCUGUAUGCCCAGAGAAAGCAGCAUGAUGACAGGAAGCAGAGUGGCUAUGGUAGGCAGACUAAGUCAAUUUUCUGGAAAAAGACUAAAACGAUCAAGAUUGUGCUGAGGCCUUGAGUGCAUUGAACCCAGCUGCAGAUCUAAGAGAACGCUGGCAACUAAGAGAAGCAAGCCCUUGAACUGGCUUGAGAUAUGAAGAGAAACGGCCAAGCAAUCCAGUUAUCA